rnacentral:rRNA from 1 species
AUUGAACGCUGGCGGCAUGCCUUACACAUGCAAGUCGAACGGCAGCGGGCCUUCGGGUGCCGGCGAGUGGCGAACGGGUGAGUAAUGCAUCGGAACGUGCCAUUGAGUGGGGGAUAACGUAGCGAAAGUUGCGCUAAUACCGCAUAUUCUGUGAGCAGGAAAGCAGGGGACCGCAAGGCCUUGCGCUCUUUGAGCGGCCGAUGUCAGAUUAGCUAGUUGGUGGGUAAAGGCCUACCAAGGCGACGAUCUGUAGCGGGUCUGAGAGGAUGAUCCGCCACACUGGAACUGAGACACGGUCCAGACUCCUACGGGAGGCAGCAGUGGGGAAUUUGGACAAUGGGGCAACCCUGAUCCAGCCAUGCCGCGUGAGUGAAGAA